rnacentral:rRNA from 1 species
ACUCCUACGGGAGGCAGCAGUAGGGAAUCUUCCACAAUGGACGAAAGUCUGAUGGAGCAACGCCGCGUGAGUGAAGAAGGGUUUCGGCUCGUAAAACUCUGUUGUUAAAGAAAGAACAUAUCUGAGAGUAACUGUUCAGGUAUUGACGGUAUUUAACCAGAAAGCCACGGCUAACUACGUGCCAGCAGCCGCGGUAAUACGUAGGUGGCAAGCGUUGUCCGGAUUUAUUGGGCGUAAAGCGAGCGCAGGCGGUUUUUAAGUCUGAUGUGAAAGCCUUCGGCUCAACCGAAGAAGUGCAUCGGAAACUGGGAAACUUGAGUGCAGAAGAGGACAGUGGAACUCCAUGUGUAGCGGUGAAAUGCGUAGAUAUAUGGAAGAACACCAGUGGCGAAGGCGGCUGUCUGGUCUGCAACUGACGCUGAGGCUCGAAAGUAUGGGUAGCAAACAGGAUUAGAUACCCUGGUAGGAUAGCG